rnacentral:rRNA from 1 species
AUGGUGCACAAAGACACACUGCAGCCUGACAAUGAUGUUGAGCCAACAAUUGAUGCUCAAGAAGGCCACAAUCUGGAACCAGCAGAAGUAACUGAGGACACACAACCCGCAACCAUGCCAUGUAUUCCUGGCGAAGAGGUUGUAGCUGAAGCACCUGCUGGAGUCCAAACUUCUUUGGAGCCUAAUGUGGAUGAGCCUGACGCCCUUCCGGAUACCAGUGAUGGAAACACAGAAACAGUUGAGCCAGCUAAAGUGGAUAAAGAGAACUGUCCAGAAGAUGAAGAUGUUGAGAUCGUCAAACUAGAAGAUCAACCAAGUGAUAAAACUGAUGAUGUGGAUGCAGACCUGGUGCAUGAAGAGGUGCCUAAAAGCAAGAAAACAGAUGUACCCGAAGAUAUGCCUAAAACUGGGCAAGCUGAUGAGUCGAUGAAUGGUGAUCAAGUGCUGAACCAAGAAUCAACAGAAGAAACCAGUGACCCUCUGCCUGAAAAAACUCAAGAAACUUCUCAUGAGAGCAAUGUGUCCACCUCUGAGGAGACAACUCCAGAACAUGAUGCAGUGACAAGGGAGCCAGCUCUUGAUGUUCAAGUGCAAAACCAGGGAUUAGCAGAAGAAAUAGCAGAUGCCAAAGAAGUUGAUGCUGAGAAAACAGUUCAACAAAGGGGUAUUGCUUUUGAGGAGGUAACUCCAGAAGAUAAUGCAACAAUCAUUGAACCAAGUUCUGACAUCCAACAUUUAAAUAAUGUGGAGUCAGAAGAAAUAAAGGGUCUUGAAGAUGCCAAAGCUGGAGAAUCCUCCGAUCAAAGCAACGUGACAAUUGCUGAAGAUGCAACCGAAGAUAAGGAAGCAACAGAAGAUAUGCAACCAGUUCAAGGGUUGGAAGAGGAAGAACCUAAGAACACUGGAACUGUCGAAAUGGAUGAAGCUUCCAGUCAACCACAUGCUGAUGUCAUCAAUAACCUUGCUGAAGAAGACAGUGUACCAGCAUGUGAGCCCCAGGUGAUAGGAUUAAAAGAAGAGGUGAAGGACACUGGAGCCACUGAAACUCAAGAAAUCACUCAACAAAGUCAUGCUGCUGCUUCAGAGGAACUAGUAACAGAAGAUAAUUCUAUGGCAAUUGAGCCAUCGAAUGAUGAUAUCCAGCAAAUCCUGGAGCAAGGAUCAUCUGAAGUUAAGCACGCAGAAGUUUCUGACACUCAAGAAAUCUGCCAUGAAAGAACUAUUUCUGCUCCUGAGGAGGACUCUGUAAAAGAUGAUGUAACAGCAGAAGGACCAAGCUGUGAUGCCCAAGAGGUAGAAAAUGUAGCAUCAGUAGAAGAAAUCAAGGAGAACACAGCUGAGGAUGUGUCUGAACAGCAAAUGCGGGGGCUUGAAACAGAAGAAAUACAGAGCACUGAACCUGUUGAAACAGAAGAAGCUUCUGAUCUAAGGCAUCCUGCUCUCUUGAAUGACCCAGCUCAAGAAGAUAUUCUACCGAGUGAUGUGCCAAAGACUGAAUCAACAGUAGACGUGAAGGAUACUGAAGCCAUUAAAACUGAAGCACUCCCCCAGGAAAGCAAUGAUUCCAUUUCUGAGGAGCCUGCUUCAGAAGAAAAUAUAACAGCAAGUGAAGUAAUUUGUGAUGAUCUUGCCAGAGAGCCAGAUGUUGAUAUGCAAUCAGUGCAGGAGCUACAGUCAGAAAAGAAGAAUGCUGAAUUUACUGAAGUGAGUGAAGCAUCUGGUGAAAUGGAUGCUGCCGUCAUUGAGAACCCAACUCAUGAAGAUAACCUAACCACAAGUGAGUCGCUUGUGAUGGAAUCAGCAGAAGUGAGCAGCAAUGAAGCCACUGAAGGCCAAGAAAUGCCUCAAAGUGAUGCUACUCAGUCAGAAGAUCACAAAACAGAAGAAAAUAUGGCAGUGAGUGAACCACAGAUCCUGGAACCAGAACCUGCUGAAGAAAUGAGAGACGGUGAAGCCACUGAGCCUCAAGCUAUCUCACUAGAAAGCACGUCUGUUCCAGAAGAAGAUGUAACAGCAAAAGAAGCAGCUUCUGAUAUCAGAGAAGUACAAACCGAAGAGCCUAUAGAAGAACCUGAUGAUGUGAAAGCUGAAGAAAUAUCCAACCAAAGCAGUGGGACCAUUGUUGGAGAAACAGCUCAAGAACACAAGUUACUAUCAAGUGACCCAACUAGUGAUGUACAAGCAAAGGAGCUCGAGUCACAAAAAACUGGUAACAGUGAGGAUGUUCAAACUGAAGAAGCUUCGCAUCAAACACACGCUGAAGAAACUUUGACAGAAAAUGAGCCACAAAUAGCAACAGAAGAUAACAGAGCAAUCCUGGCAGAUGUUAGCAUUCAGCAGCUUCAAGGGCAAGAACCAGUUGAAUUCAGGGACACUGAAGCUACUGAACCUCAAGGCAUCUCCCCAUCUCACACUGCCUCUGGUUCUGAGCAGUCCACACCAGAAGAUAACGAGAUGACAGAACCCAGUCCUGCAACUCAAGCAGAGAAUUUAGAAUCAGCAAUAGUGACGGAGGAAAGUAAAGAUAUGAAAAGCACUGACGCAAUUGCUGAGGAGGAAACUCCCAAAGAAUGCGUACAGGAAACUGAGGCACAUGUUGAUAUACCACCAGUGGAGAAUACUGACCCCGCUGAGGUGCAUGACAAUGCAACGACAAAUGACCUGCCAGCAGAAGAGGUGAAGGACAAUGAAGCCAUAGAGGUUGCAGAAAUCCACUAUGAGAGCCCUGUUGCAAAUAUUGGUGAUCUCACUGAAGAUGCCAAAAGCAAUGUUGCUCUUGAAGAUGAGGCAGCUCCUGAUGAAGAUGUAAAACCAACAGAGGCAACUGCUGCUAUACCACAACCACAAGAGCCAGAAUUAGAAGAGAUCAAGAAUAGUGAACCUGUUGAAGUGGAAGAUAAUAUAAUAGCAAGGGACCUGCCAGCAGAAGAGAUCAAGGACACUGACGCCAUGGAAACUGAGAUGAUCCCUCAUGAGAGUAGUGGUGCAAACAUUAGCGAGCUCAUCAAUGAUAUGAAAAGCAAUGUUGCUCUUGCGGACGAGGCAGCUCCUGAUGAACAUGCAAAAGCAACAGAGGCAACUGGUACUAUACCACAACCGCAAGAGCCAGACCUAGAAGAGAUCAAGAAUAGUGAACCAGCUGAAGUGGAAGGAAACAAAUCAGCAAGUGAUCUGCCAUCAGAAGAAGUGAAGGAUACUGAAGCCGUGGAAACAGAAGCAAUCAACGACAGCACUGAUGCAAAUAACAGUGAGCUCACUGAAGAUCUGCAAAGCAAUGUUGCUCUUACAGACGAGGCAGCUCAUGACGAACAUGUAGCGGUAGCGGAGACAACAGUUGAUAUACCACAAGCACAAGAGCCAGAACUAGAAGAGGUCAAGAAUAUUGAACCUGUUGAGGUGGAAGAAACUAGAUCAGCAAGUGACCUGCCAGCAGAAGAGGUGAAGGAAACUGAAGCAAUCAACGAGAGCACUGUUGCAAACACCAGCGAGCUAUCUGAGGAUGUGACAAGCAAUGUUGUUCCUGCAGAUGAGGCAGCUCCUGAAGAGCAUGUAUUAGCAACUGAGGCAACAGUUGAUAUACCAGAAGCACAAGAGCCAGAACUAGAACAGACCAAGAGUACUGAACCUUCUGAAGUGGAAGAAAUCAUAUCAGCAAAUGAUCUGCCAGCAGAAGAGGUGAAGGAUACUGAAGCCGUGGAGACUGAAGCAAUCAACGAGAGCGCUGAUGCAAACAACAGUGAGCUCCCUGAAGAUGUGAAAAACAAUGUUGCUCUUGCAGACGAGGCCGCUCCUGAAGAACAUGUAACAGUAGCUGAUGAUACAGUUGAUAUGCCACAAGCACAAGAGCCAGAAGUAGAAGAGAUGAAGAAUACUGAACCUGUUGAAGUGGAAGAAAACAUAUCAGCAAGUGACCUGCCAGCAGAAGAGGUGAAGAAGACUGAAGCGAUCAACGAGAGUGCUGAUGCAACCAUCAGCGAGCUCACAGAGGAGGUGAAAUGCAAUGUUGCUCUUGCAGACGAGGAACCUCAUGAAGAGCAUGUAACAGUAGCUGAGACAGCAGUUGAUGUACCACAAGCACAGGAGCUGGAACUAGAAGAGAUCAAGAAUACUGAACCUGUUGAGGUGGAAGAAAAGAUGUCAGCAAGUGACAUGCAGGCAGAAGAGGUGAAGGACACUGAAGCAAUCAACGAGAGCGCUGAUGCGAAAAUCAGUGAGCUCACUGAGGAUGUCAAACCUAAUGUUGCUCUUGCAGACGAGGCAGCUCCUGAAGAACAUGUAAUAGCAACUAAGGCAACAGUUGACAUACCACAAGCACAAGAUCCAGAACUAGAAGAAAUCAAGAAUACUGAACCUGUUGAAGUGGAAGAAAACAUAUCAGAGAGUGACCUGCGCGCAGAAGAGGUGAAGGACGCUGAAGCCAAAAAAACAGAAGCAAUCAAUGAGAGCACUGAUGCAAACAUCAGUGAGCUCACUGAGGAUGUGAAAAGUAAUGUUACUCGUGGAGAUGAGGCAGCUCCUGAAGAGCUUGUAACAGCAACCGAGGCAACAGUUGAUAUUCCACGAGCACAAGAGCCAGAACUAGAAGAGAUUGAGAAUGUUGAACCUGUUGAGGUGGAAGAAAACACAUCAGUGAGUGACAUGCCGGCAGAAGAGGUGAAGGACAUUGAAGCCAAGGAAACUGAUGCAAUCAAUGAGAGCAGUGAUGCAAACAUCAGUGAGCUUACUGAACAUAUGAAAAGCAACGUUGCUCUUAUAGAUGAGGCAGCUCAUGAAGAACAUGUAACAGUAGCCGAGACAACAGUCGAUCUACCACAAGCACAAGAGCCGGAGCUAGAAGAGAUCAAGAAUACUGAAGCAGGUGACCUGUCAGCAGAAGAGGUCCAGGAAAUUGAACCCAAGGAAACUGAAGCAAUCAGCGAAAUGACUGAUGCAAACAUCAGGGAGCUCAAUGAGGAUGUGAAAAGCAAUGUUGUUCUUGCAGACGAGGAACCUCAUGCAGAACAGGUAACAGUAGCUGAGAGAACAGUUGACAUACCACAAACACAGGAGCCAGAACUAGAAGAGAUCAAGAAUACUGAACCUGUUGAGGUGGAAGAAAAUAGAUCAGCACGUGACCUGCAAGCAGAAGAGGUGAGGGAAACUGAAGCAAUCAAUGAGAGCCCUGAUGCAAACAUUAGCGAGCUCACUGAGGAUGUGACAAGCAAUGUUGCUCCUGCGGACGAGGCAGCUGAGCAUGUAAUAGUAACUGAGGCAACAGUUGAUAUACCAGAAGCACAAGAGCCAAAACUAGAAGAGACCAAGAGUACUGAACCUGCUGAAGUAGAAGAAAACAUAUCAGCAAAUGAUCUGCCAGCAGAAGAGGUGAAGGAUACUGAAGCCGUGGAGACAGAAGCAAUCAACGAGAACACUGAUGCAAACACCAGUGAGCUCACUGAAGAUGUGAAGAACAAUGUUGCUCUUGCAGACGAGGCCGCUCCUGAAGAACAUGUAACAGUAGCUGAUGAUACAGUUGACAUGCCACAAGCACAAGAGCCAGAAGUAGAAGAGAUGAAGAAUACUGAACCUGUUGAAGUGGAAGAAAACAUAUCAGCAAGUGACCUGCCAGCAGAAGAGGUGAAGGACACUGAAGCAAUCAACGAGAGUGCUGACGCAAACAUCAGCGAGCUCACUGAGGAGGUGAAAUGCAAUGUUGCUCUUGCAGACGAGGAACCUCAAGAAGAGCAUGUAACAGUAGCUGAGACAGCAGUUGAUAUACCACAACCACAGGAGCUGGAACUAGAAGAGAUCAAGAACACUGAACCUGUUGAAGUGGAAGAAAACAUAUCAGCAAGUGACCUGCUGGCAGAAGAGGUGAAGGACGCUGAAGCCAAAGAAACAGAAGCAAUCAACGAGAGCACUGAUGCAAACAUCAGUGAGCUCACUGAGGAUGUGAAAAGUCAUGAUACUCGUGCAGAUGAGGCAGCUCCAGAAGAGAAUGUAAUAGCAGCUGAGGCAGCAGUUGAUAUACCACAAACACAAGUGUCAGAACUACAAGAGCUCGAGAAUGUUGAACCUGACAAGGUGGAAGAAAACAGAUCAGAAGGUGACCUGCCAGCGGAAGUGGUGAAGGAAAUUGAAACCAAGGAAACUGAAGCAAUUAACGAGAGCACUGAUGCAAACGUCAGCGAGCUCACCGGGGAUGUGACAAGCAAUGUUACUCCUGCAGACGAGGCAGCUCCUGAAGAGCAUGUAACAGCAACUGAGGCAACGGUUGAUAUUCCACGAGCACAAGAGCCAGAACUAGAAGAGAUCGAGAAUGUUGAACCUGUUGAGGUGGAAGAAAACACAUCAGCUAGUGACAUGCCGGCAGAAGAGGUGAGGGAAACUGAAGCAAUCAACGAGAGCACUGAUGCAAACAUCAGUGAGCUCACUGGAGAUAUGAAAAGCAACGUUGCUCUUAUAGAUGAGGCAGCUCAUGAACAUGUAACAGUAGCUGAGACAACAGUCGAUAUACCACAAACACAAGAGCCGGAGCUAGAAGAGAUCAGGUAUACUGAAGGAGGUGACCUGUCAGCAGAAGAGGUCAUGGAAAUUGAACCCAAGGAAACUGAAGCAAUCAGCGGAAGGACUGAUGCAAACAUCAGCGAGCUCAAUGAGGAUGUGAAAAGCAAUGUUGUUCUUGCAGACGAGGAACCUCAUGCAGAGCAUGUAACAGUAGCUGAGAGAACAAUUGACAUACCACAAGCACAGGAGCCGGAACUAGAAGAGAUCAAAAGUACUGAACCUGUUGAGGUGGAAGAAAAUAGAUCAGCAAGUGACUUGCAAGCAGAAGAGGUGAAGGAAACUGAAGCAAUCAAUGAGAGCCCUGAUGCAAACAUCAGCGAGCUCACUGAGGAUGUGACAAGCAAUGUUGCUCCUGCAGACGAGGCAGCCCCUGAAGAGCAUGUAAUAGCAACCGAGGCAACAGUUGAUAUUCCACCAGCACAAGAGCCAGACCUAGAAGAAAACAACAAUACUGAACCAGUUGAAGUGGAAGGAUUCAUAUCAGCGAGUGACCUGCCGACAGAAGAGGUGAAGGAGACUGAAACCAAGGAAACUGAAGCAAUCAAUGAGAGCACUGAUGCAAACAUAAGUGAGCUCACUGAGGAUGUAAAAGGCAAUAUUGCUCAUGCAGAUGAUGCAGCUCCUGAAGAACAUGUAAUAGCAGAUGAGGCAGCUCCUGAAGAACAUGCAAUAGCAGCUGAGGCAACAGAUGAUAUACCACAAGCACAAGUGCCAGAACUAGAAGAGCUCGAGAAUACUGAACCUGUUGAGGUGGAAGAAAACAAAUCAGCAACUGACCUGCCAGCUGAAGAGGUGAAGGACACUGAAACCAAGGAAACUGAAGCAGUCAACAAGAGCGCUGAUACAAACAUCAGCGAGCUCACUGAAGAUGUUACUCUUGCGGAUGAGGCAGCUGCUGACAUACAAAUCGAUGUACCACCAGCAAAGGAGCCAGCACUAGAAGAGAUGGAGAAUAUUGAACCUGUUGAAGCACAAGAUGGUAUAACAUCGGAUAAUGUCCCAGCAGAAGAGAUAAAUGACACUGAAGCCAUGGAGACUGGAGAAAUCCCUCAUGAGAGCACAGAUGAUAGUUUGACAGCAAGUGCAGCACUUCCUGAUAUUCAACAAGUCCCAGAACAAGAAGCAGUUGAAGAUAAGGCAUGCACUGACACCACAGAAAACCAAGGGGAACCUCAACAAAGCAUUGUUUCUACUUCUGCUGAGCUUACUCCAACAGAAGAAGAAACAGCAGUAGUAGAGCAUACUCAAGAUACACAUGUACAGAAUGCCGGCAGUGAACCGGGAAGUGACCCAAAUUUGCUUGUCCAAUCAGCACAUCAAUCAGAAUUAGCUGAAGACAGCAAGGGUCAACUUGUAAAGGCAGAAGAAACAGGCCAAAGUAAUGGUGCCACCCUUGAAGAACCAGCUGCAGAUGACAAUGCCGCAAAUGAAAUCGGCCCGCUUGCUGAUUCUAAACAAGAGCGUGGACUAGAAUCAGCGGAAGAAAACAAAUGUAUUGAUGCUACUGAAGGUGAAGAGGGCUCCCAUUUAAGCCAAGAUCCUGGUUUAGAGGAGCCAGUUUCAGAACGUGAUAUAGCAACAGUUGAGCCAACUUCUGAUAUUCAGCAAGUAAAUGACAUGGAUGAAGCAGAAGAAAUGGCGGCCACUGAACCCAUCAACGGGGAAGAAAUUUCCUCUCAAAAAACAGAAGUUGCUACUUUGGAGGAUCCAUCUCCAACAGAUAAUGGAACGGUGCCAGAACAAAAUCCUAUUGAGUUAGACGAAGAGAACUUGGGAAAUGAAAUCAGCAAUGCAAUCUUGGCGGAUGAAGACAUCAAAGAGGAAAUACAAGAGCCAACAGAACAAAAGGACGAAUCAUCUGACUUGGGUGAAAAAACUGCUUUCACAACUCAGAAGGACGAGAGCGCUACUGAGGAAGAUGUUGUACAAAUUUCUGGUGAAGAUACAGUAGGGACUUCAAACAAUAUUGAGCAAAUCAAAGAACUGCCAAAAUCUGUAAUUGAACAUAAUGCGAUAAAAAGUGGUGACCAUACCGAUGAUCAAGAUGACGAGCAACUUCACAAUGUGGAGCUUCAAAUGCAAGUGUGUGAGCGGUCAGUGGAUUUAACCACUGAGCAGCCAGAUGACCACGUGCAAAAGGUUAACUUGGAUCAGCAGAAGAAAGAAGAUGAGGCGAUUGAAAAGCAAACGGAAGAAAUACAGACAGAUGAGCAGAAACAUGAUGACAGUAGGGCUGAUUUCACCACAGAGACAAUAUUGGAGCCCCAGAGCAACGAAAUUGACACAACAAAUAGGAAAGACAACGCUGAUGUGUUUGAGGCUGAACAAACAGAGGCAGUGACUACUGAAAUGCUCAAGAAUGAACAAACCCUACAUAUAGCCCAAGAAUCCAUUCCAAGCGUUACAGAUGUGAAGGUUGAGAACUCCACGGAAAUAGAAGAAACAAUUGAACAAGAAGAUGCACCCAACAACACUGGCACUUUAUAUACUGAUGCUGAUGCUGAAAAAUAUAACGAAGAUGAGAAGGAGAAUACAGAAAUAGAUGCAGCAGUAGCAAAAACUUCUACUGAUGAACAGGAUGGAACAACUGAUGAAACUAUAAAUGAAGAGGAUCCUACGGUGGUUCCUCAGAAUGUUGAAUCCAGAGUGCACUCAGAAGAGAAAGAAUGCAUAAACGCCAAUGAUGGUAUGCAGGCCAUUCAAGCAUCAGAAGAAGAGAUCGUUGAUGAAGUGGAAAAGGAAGAAAUACAAAAUGAAGACACCAAUGUUAAUCAUGAAGAAAUUGAGACCAAACUUGUCGAUGAAGAGGCGUCUGGACUGCAGGACUUGAGCUUUCAUCCAAAGGUUAUAGAUGACAAGUUGGCAACAGAGCAGAAUGGUGCACAAGUUGAAACUGACUCGAAUGAGGAAAUGGCGACUGGCUAUACUGCAGUCACUGAAUCAGUCAAACUCGGUGAAGCUAUCUACAAUAAGGCUGGUGGACCUGAUGUGGCACUAUCUGAUGAAAAUCUCGCCAUUGAGGACAACAGAAGGAAUCUUGAGGCUUCACCUGCAGUUACAGCAUCAGGAGAAAGUAUGAACGAAGACAAUGAACAUCAUAAGCCUGAUCUUCCCGCACACUCCGCCAUGGAUGGAAAUGAAACUGAACAGGCAUCUGGCUUAGAAGUGACAGAAAGAGAGUUGUUUCCAGAGAAGCCACUCCCCACCGGAUCAGAAGAGCAAGAAGAGAGUCAAAUAACCAAAGAACAAGAUGGAGAGAACGUACAAGAGCAAGAAACUGAUGACACAGAGAAAGAAGAAAAAGAAGCUGAGCAGAGUUAUUUGCCUGUCUCCCAUUUUCUGAUGAACCUGAUAAUGGGAAAAGAGAGCAAUGAGCCAGAUGGAAAUUCGGAAUUUAAGGCUGAAAAGAAGCAAGAAGAAACCACAAAAGAUGGCAGUUCUUUGAUCACCUCGCAACAGGAAGAAAGCUUGGGGCCAAUCCCAACAGAAAAUAAGGUGGACAAUGAACGCGUCUUUGAACAAGGAAAACAUAAUAUAGAAGGCUCUGAAGAAACACAUGAUAUCAAGCUGGAAAAGGAUGAAGAGCUCAAUAGGGACACUCAUGGUUUGGAAGCACCAGUAUGCCAAAACAAUGUCCAUGGUGAAACUUCUAGUGAAAUGGUACCUGGUGGAUCUGGCCUGACUACAGAAAUGGAAACUAGAGACAUCAAGCUGGGUGAAAAGGCAACCAAUUCUGUUUGUCAGGAACAUAUGGAAGCGACAACACAGAUUGAAGAAGGAAGCUUGAAGCUUCAUGACAUAACAAGCCCAAAGGUUUCUCAAGAGGACACAUUAGAGGAAGGAAUAACAGACCUUCAGCACGAGCCUUUACCUGAAAAUAGAAGUUCUGAUGCAGUGUCCGGGCAAACACUCUUGUUGACAGAACCAAAUAUGGGUGAUGAAAAGAAUUUGCCUAAUGACACUGACGAUCUUCAAAGUCCUCUGAGCACAAAAAGAGAAGAGUCCAAUGAAUCUUCCAUCACUGAGGCCGAAAGUACUGUAGAGGCAGAACUGGAGAAUGGAGUAGACAAGGAAGAAAAGAAUCAGCAGACAACCACCACAGGUGGAGUUACAGAAGAACAGAUAGAAAAUGAGCAUGAUAUCUCGCAGAAAGGCACAGAGGCAAUAUCUGAUGAGCAGAAGGGUGAAAUUACUGAACCAGUUAUGGGCAAUGAGAUAAAUUUGAUUCAUGAAAAGGGGAUUUCUGCAGGCUCAGAAUGCAAGGACGAAAAACAAAGCUCUAAGUUCUCAAACAGUGAACUAGACAACUCUGAGAAAGCUUUGGAAAUUCAGUUAGAUGGUUCCAGCUUGCAUAUAGACCAAGAUAAGCAAGAUGAAUCUGCAGGCGACCAAAUUGUGAUGGAGAAGAACAACCUGCAAGACAAUCCAGGAGAAUCUGAUUUGCAGAAGGUGCAGGAAACGGAAGUUGCACAAGAAUCUCCUGAAGAAUCUGAUGAAGGUGAUCAGAAUUCUUUGCCCAUAAGAGAGCCUGUGAUCAAAGAAGUGAAUGUAAACAAAACUGUUGAUAACCAUGUGCAAACAGUGGACACACAAUCACAGGAAGAGCAAGAAACAUUUAAUUCACAGGUUCAGGAGCGUGAUCUCGAUGUGGCUUCACCAGAAGAAGCUCCUGAGGCUGAAGAAAAAAUUGUGGAGUCAAAGCCAGAAUUCAGCACAGAUGAAGAACAAAGUCCAAAGAAAGAUGAAUCAAAUAUGGCAGGAGAGAAAACUUAUGAUGAGAAAACAAAGGGUGCACAGGAAGCUAAGAGUCUCACUGACGAAGCGAAAACCAAAGUUGAAGAACAAGGAGUAGUACAGAAGGCGUCACACAAUCAGAAACGUGAUCUCGAUGUGGUUUCACCAACAGAAGCUCCUGGGACUGAAGAAAAUGUUGUGGAUAUAAAAGAGCCAGAGUUCAGCACAGAUGAAGAACAAAGUCCAAAGAAAGAUGUAUCAAACAUGGCAGAAGAGAAGAGUUAUGAAAAGAAGACAAAUGGUGACGACGAAGCUAAGAAUUUCACUGAUGACGCACCAACGAAAAUUGAAGAACGAGAGGCAGGGCAGAAGGCAUCACCUAAAAAGCAUAAUAUCUUAUCUGGUGUCGGAUCAAAGGUAAAGCACCAACUAGCAAAAGUGAAGAAAGCUAUCAUAGGCAAGCCUGGGCACACAAAAUCUGAAUUACCAAAAGCUUGA